GGAGGCUUACUGUGCGGCAGGAGGAACAGCGCCUUUCCACCCCCCGUGCCGCUGGUGGCUGCUGUAACCGCAGCCUUCCCGGUCCCAGCCACUCUAAACUGUGGAGAGCUCGGUGGGCUUCCCAGAGGAGCGGCUCGGCGAGGCUGGACGCAGGAUCCGCAUUCCCCCCUGCUCUCUCAGGGAGUUUCUCUCUGUAAUGUCUCUCAGAGGAUCAUGGGUUAAAGGCUUCGUCCCCUGUGAAUGGCGCCAUCGAGAUGUGGUCGGAAUCUUAGGAGGUGGAGCCUGUUUGGAAGAAAUGAGACCAUCAUACGGCGCUUGCGUUCACAGGAUAUGUGGUGGCAUCAGUUCUCUCCUUUCUUGCUCUUUGGUUCCUGCAACACAAGAGAGCUGAAACCAGGACAGUGGGCAAGAUGGAGGAGCCAGUGUUGGGAAGGAAAAACAGAGUGUCUGAGGUGGCCUGAUCAGGCAUGCAAACAGUGUGCUCAUGAGGUUCCAUGGAUGUGGUUAGAGUCAACAAGAAUUGAGGGUGUGAAUGGAUGAAAUCUACUAUUUGGUUUCAGAGACAGUAUAUAUAUCAAAGGCUCAACUGAAGUAGAAUGGCAUGAUUCUACAGAGGUCGAAGGAGACGGGAAUUUUCCACAUACAAUCUUCACUGCUCUGCUGGGGUGGGAGGUAAGAAGGACACCUCCCUCCAGAGAUGGCCCCAUGGCUCUCCCAGGUUGGUUUCUACAGCGGCUACCUUGUCAUUCAUCAGUCUUAAGAUUUUCUGUAUUUGCCCUCAAUCAAACACAUCUCCUUUUUCAAAGUAAACUUUUAAAUAUACUCAGAGGGCAACAAGCCUUGUGCAUUCAUGCGAGAUCCAGUAUAUGGAAGUCCUCAUUACUGAAGUCAUGAGUGAGACAGCAGUUUUAAACUUACGGUUGUUUUGUUUUGC